GACGAACGCUGGCGGCGUGCUUAACACAUGCAAGUCGAACGAAGUGGCGAACGGGUGAGUAAUACGUGAGUAACCUGCCCUCCUUUUUGGGAUAAGCCUUGGAAACGGGGUCUAAUACCGAAUAAAGGGGGAUGGGGUCGCGGCCUAUCAGCUUGUUGGUGGGGUGAUGGCCUUCCCAGGCGGUGACCGGUAGCCGGCCUGAGAGGGUGAGCGGCCAAAUUGGGACUGGGAUACGGCCCAGACUCCUACGGGAGGGGGGAAGGGGGGAUAAUGCACAAAGGGCGAAAGCCUGAUGGAGGGGCGGCGGGUGGGGGAUGGAGGCUUUGGGGUUGUAAAACUCUUUCGGUAUCGAAGGGGUAGGUGGAGAAGAAGCGCCGGCUAACUACGUGCCAGCAGCCGCGGUAAUAC
rnacentral:rRNA from 1 species